AUGGCUUACACAUGCAGUCGAGGGGUAACAGAUCUUCGGAUGCUGACGACCGGCGAACGGGUGAGUAACACGUAUGCAACUUACCCAUAACUCGGGAAUAGCCCAAAGAAAUUUGGAUUAAUACCCAAUAAUACAGGCGUACCGCAUGGUAUUCUUCGUUAAAGAAUAAUCGGUUAUGGAUAGGCAUGCGUUCUAUUAGGUAGUUGGUGAGGUAACGGCUCACCAAGCCGACGAUGGAUAGGGGAACUGAGAGGUUGUCCCCCCACACUGGUACUGAGACACGGACCAGACUCCUACGGGAGGCAGCAGUGAGGAAUAUUGGUCAAUGGACGAAAGUCUGAACCAGCCAAAUCGCGUGAAGGAAGAAGGUAUUAUGUAUCGUAAACUUCUUUUGUAAGAGAGUAAAGUGCACUACGUGUAGUGUAUUGCAAGUACCUUACGAAUAAGCAUCGGCUAAUUCCGUGCCAGCAGCCGCGGUAAUACGGAAGAUGCAAGUGUUAUCCGGAUUUAUUGGGUUUAAAGGGUGCGUAGGUGGUCUAAUAAGUCAGUGGUGAAAUCUCUUUGCUUAACAAGGAAAUUGCCAUUGAAACUGUUAGACUUGAGAAUGGACGAGGUAGGCGGAAUUCGUAGUGUAGCGGUGAAAUGCAUAGAUAUUACGAAGAACUCCAAUAGUGUAGACUGCUUACCAGACCAUAUCUGACACUAAGGCACGAAAGUGUGGGUAUCAAACAGGAUUAGAUACCCUGGUAGCCCACACAGUAAACGAUGAAUACUAACUGUUUGCGAUAUACAGCAAGUGGUCGAGCGAAAGCGUUAAGUAUUCCACCUGGGAAGUAUGCCGGCACGGUGAAACUCAAGGAAUUGACGGGGCCCGCACAGCGGAGGAACAUGUGGUUUAAUUCGAUAAUACGCGAGAACCUUACCCGGGCUCGACGAUAUUUGAUACAUCCG
rnacentral:rRNA from 1 species